UAGGGAAUCUUCGGCAAUGGACGAAAGUCUGACCGAGCAACGCCGCGUGAGUGAAGAAGGUUUUAGGAUUGUAAAACUCUUUUGUUAGAGAAGAACAAGGACGUUAGUAACUGAACGUCCCCUGACGGUAUCUAACCAGAAAGCCACGGCUAACUACGUGCCAGCAGCCGCGGUAAUACGUAGGUGGCAAGCGUUGUCCGGAUUUAUUGGGCGUAAAGCGAGCGCAGGCGGUUUCUUAAGUCUGAUGUGAAAGCCCCCGGCUCAACCGGGGAGGGUCAUUGGAAACUGGGAGACUUGAGUGCAGAAGAGGAGAGUGGAAUUCCAUGUGUAGCGGUGAAAUGCGUAGAUAUAUGGAGGAACACCAGUGGCGAAGGCGGCUCUCUGGUCUGUAACUGACGCUGAGGCUCGAAAGCGUGGGGAGCAAACAGG
rnacentral:rRNA from 1 species